rnacentral:rRNA from 1 species
AUGGAGGGACGCCCCCGCGGCGGCGGCGGCGGCGGCCGGACCGCCAUGGACUACUCGCUGGCGGCGCUGAAGCUGUUCGCCUCGCAGCUGGCGGGCUCCACCACGGCCCCCUCCUCCGAGGGCUCCUCCCCCGCGCAGAUGCUCUUCGGCAUCCGCUUCCAGCGCGCCUGGAUCCAGGUCCCGUCUUCUUCCCCGUCCCGUCCCUUCCUUUCCUUUGCUCGGAGCCUUUGCCCUGCCCUGACGGCUCGCUGCGGCAGGCAGGGCGUGGUGGUGCGCGCGGACUACAGCGUCGGCGACGGGAGGCUGUUCGUGGAUGACGGCUCCUGCGUCACCGAGCUCAUGCUCCGGCCCGAGGAUGCCAAGGGCCAGCCCUGGCGCCCAGGGAUGUAUGUGCUCAUUAUUGGGGCAUAUAUUGCACCCCAGUCUACGGAAAGUCUGCCGAUGGUCAAGGUGCACAAGAUAGUGGAUCUCUCAGCGCAGCCGGACCGUGAAGCGAUGUGGUACAUGGAAGUCGCCGAGGCGUACAACUUCUUCUACAAGGCUGACGCCUCUGGGGUCGGCUCACCGCCAUGA